rnacentral:rRNA from 1 species
UCAAGUUGCCUUAAAACAUGGUAAAACUAGCUCUUUACAACUCUUGCAUGGUCGCCCACUGAAGCAAAGUAGGACUGCAUCCGGUCAGUACCUGGAUAGGAGACCACAUGGGAAAGCUAGAUUGCUGCUGGAA